AAAGAAUGCAAUUGGCAUUAUACGCAAAUCGGGGAAACAAUGAUCGAAUAAUGCGUCAACAGAAACAAUAAUAGAACAAAACAUUUGACAGGUGCGACGUUGAUUGAUUACGUCACAAUGUAAACAAUCGCACGUGCCAUUCACGUGGAUUCUGUCAAAGAUUUCCAGCGUUUAAUAUUUUAAGAGGUUUAUAAUGAACUUUGUGUAUAGAUUGUCUCACUACCCAG
rnacentral:lncRNA from 1 species